ACCCUCCUAUUUAUUAUUAUUAUUACUGCAUUUAAUAAGGAAAUAUCUUAAAAUUAUAUUUAUAGUUUUAAGUAGUUUGGCAAAGUCAAAUCCAUUUUAAAAAAUAUUACUUCGAUCUAUUUUCAUUUAAUAAAUUUCAAUAUCUUCCUCCAGGUUUGCUGUUGAAGUUCGAUUUUCAAUAUCUUCAUUUAAUAAAUUUUCAAGUUCGAUUUCUUCCAUGUCGCCUUUUCGAACAAGUUUGCUGUUAAUUAUAUCGGUAUCGGAUAAUAUUUUAAAUAUUUUAAACCUCCUUUUUAUAAUAAAAUCAAUCCAAUCUGAUUUGAUAUUUUUUUCUAAAAUCUAAAAAUAUAUAAAAUUUUCUAUUUGAGUUCUUUUUUAAUCCCAUUAAUUUUCCAAUUCCGUUAAUUUUGCUAAUUAUUUUUUGUGGUCCUAAUUGACCCACUAGAUGAAUUUCUCUCUAUUUAAAUCUGCUUGUUCUUUCAUAUAGGGCACACAUCUGGUGUUUCAAAACUAGGUGUGUCGAAUGUGCCAAAUAGUUGUAAGUCGUUGGUUUGCUUGCUCCGCAUACGUAAUUGCUUGAACAUUAAGAUCGGAGAAAAGUUUAAAAAUAUAUCUGGUAAAAUUCCUUUUAAAUAUUAUAGCUUUCUAGUCAAUGAUUUCGUUAAUUACGAUUCUAAUAAUGAUGAGUAGAAAUGAUUCGCUUUAUAAUUUUCGUUAUUAUUCUUGAAAGAGUGGUAAUACAUUUAGAUACCAUGUAUUUUAGGUUAUAAAAUUAAAAUUCAUUUAUGAUGGCAUAUGUUGUAUUUUAUUGUUAAAAUGUUCAUAUUGGAAUAACUAGGCGGUCAAGAUAACUAAUUUUAGUUAGUAAUUAAAUCAUAAAUGUAAUUCAAUAUAAACAUAGUUGAUUGAUAGAAUAAGGAAGUGUUCAAUUCAUUCUCUCUUUCUCUCUUCUCCAUCUUCUUCAUGUGAAUACUCCGUCAUUCUGAAAGUACGCAUAUAGGUAAGGGUAAGUAUGGGUUUGGCUCUGAUCGUAACCAACCCCGUUGGGAGGGUGUUUAGGAUGAAUAUUUUAACCCAUUCAUUGACACCGAUUGGAUUAAAAUCCUCGUAAUUGAGAUCGAAUCAUUGGAUUUUAUCAAUGCGUACUCAAUUGGACGACAAGACAAAAUCGGAUUCUAGUUGAAAAGAUUAAGAUUAUAUAAGGUGAAAGUCAUAUUUUCAAUAAAACUAGUUAAUUAACUAUUAACCUAAUUAUAUCAAGCAAGCUUUAAUUACAUGCGAUAAUGGAUGGUGGGAUUAUAUAUAUAUAAGAUAAUUGAAUUACCACCAAUCAUUUAAAUGUCAAUCAACGUAUGCAUGAUAAACCUAAAUUUCAAGAUAGAAAUAUACAAACAUUAUCAGAUAUCUUAUAUAAUAUUAUCUCAUCGUCAACUAUUUCACAUGAUUUGUCCCCUAAUUAAUCAUUAAUAAAACCAUUGAAAAAUAAGAAAUUAACCAUGAAUAUGAUAAGUUCACUAGGAAUCAACAUAAGUUUGAUAUCAGUCAUCAUUCUAGUCUCUUUAAAUUCCAAAUAUGAUAAGAAACUUUUAAUUGUCAAUGACCAGAGAUUAGGAACAUGCAAUAUCAGUCUUUGUGGGCAACCUAAAAGAAUUUGGAUUUCCAAAAUCUUCAGAAGUGGGCACAGAUUGAUCAAAGUCUCAAGUGUAUUGACGUUUUCAAAUGUGAUGGAGCGAAGAUAAAGAUUGAUUAAUAAUUUAAACCCAUCAAAUGAAGUAGGAAGUGUUAUUUUGUAGAACGUGAGAUCCAAAGUGAUCAGCUUAUCGAAACGAAAGGUAGCAGAAUGAAUCAAAUACUCUGUAGUAAAUUUCAGUACAAGUUGUUGAACAGAAGCAAUGACCAAAUAAUCCAGCCAUAAAUCUACUUCUGAGUUAAUAACUUCACUACCACUGCUGUGAAAUUUAAUAUUCGAAUGUCACCUCUGUGAAGAAAAAGAAUUCAAUGAACUUUACUCUAUAUUCUCGUGAAUGAAGAUGGUGGUCUCCGUUCACUUCUGUAAAAUUAAUCGAUAUGAAAUAUAAGAUCUGACAUCGAUUUCCACUUGUAUUUCCAACCCUUUGACAAGAAGCUCCUGCCUAUGGCAUCUCUUAUUGGCAAGCUCCCAAGAAUUUUAUUUAUGGCUUGUUCAGGCAGAGAACUGAUCGAUCCUAUCUUUUCCUGUUUUCAACUUGGUAAUCUUUAACUUUUCUGCCAUUGCUCUGAAAACAGUAAAAUAAAUCAAACACAUAUAUAUAAAAUUAAAUACGGCCCAUCGCCGGAUGGAUGGUAAUCAUAAUCCAACGACGGUGGUGAGUGGUUUGAUCUCUUCGGCGCAUCAAACUGCACCAAACAAGAACCGCAUCAAACAGUAAAAGAUCGAUUUCUAGAUUAUUAAUUAUUAUAAAGAAAAAAGAAUCUAACAGUAGAAAAGGAAAGUUCAGUACAUACUAAAAAUAUAAUGCUUUCUUCCCACCAGCUUAGAGAAGAGCAGAAAACAAAGCCGGUAAUGGGAGUUAGAACAUGAUGGCGGUGAUGGGAGAAAAUAGUGCUAUUCACGUACGUGGAAGAAAAAUCCGAUGAUCGUCGAUGUGAUAAGAAUGUUGGAAUCCGAACUACUGUGGACUUGUCGAAGAUUUGAGCUGGAAAUAAAGUAUAUAAGGUUACACGUAUGGAUAGUUGUUAUCAAACUAAUUAAAAAUAUCUACAUACGUGUAAGUUGUAACUAAUAAUAUGUAAAUAGUUAGUAAACUAAUAAGCAGUUAGUAUUAAUAAACCUAUAAAUAGACUCAAGGUGUAAGAAUUUAUCAAUGCAAUAUCAAAUUCAUUUCUCACUUCAUUUAUCAAGUGUGUUAGAACAUGGGGGGCAAGGGUUUAAUUUAGG
rnacentral:lncRNA from 1 species